AUAAAUCUAAAUGCAAUGGUUUCUCCAUGCUGUCUGUCUGAGCGUGCUCCCGAGGCUGUGUUGACUUUGGGCACUGGCAUGCUCUGCCAGGGUGUGCUAGCUCAGGAAAUUACUCCUAUAGGUACCAUAGGGCAUGUCUUUUGGUUGUGGAAUGAGUGGAUUUUUUUUUUCUUAAAAAAAAAAAAAGAACUUACUUUAUAGUACUGAUAGGUUCAUACUAACAAUAUGAUAUAUAUUAAUAACAUAAUAUGAUAUAUAUAAAAUUUAGUAACUACAUUCUGUCUAAAUAUUAGCACUUGAAGCCUUGGAAUAAAAAGUGUAUUUACAAUACAAAGUAUUUCAAUGAUAAUAUCUCAAGAAUGGGGAUGGAUGUCAGACAGGCAGCUUUUUGUGUGAUCUUUGUUUUGAGAAUUCUUUAUCUUGGUACUCUGAUUCUUCGAGUUUGAUUUAUGGAACCUUUGAUGUUCCAGAAUUUAUUUUAAAAAAUGUGUUAGUUUCUAGAUUUUGAACCAUAUUUCUGAAUUAUCCAAGAAAAAAUGCUGUAUCAGACUUUUUAAGCCCUAAAGAUGCCUGUGGUCUGUUUGUAAUUUAGCUUGGUGAUUUGCUUCUGCUAAAAAAUAGCAAUGAGCUAUCGGAGAGUUAUUUUACAUAUUUCUCCUUUAAAAGAAAAGAUU